UACGUAGGGUGCGAGCGUUGUCCGGAAUUACUGGGCGUAAAGAGCUCGUAGGCGGUUUGUCACGUCGUCUGUGAAAACCCGAGGCUUAACCUCGGGCCUGCAGGCGAUACGGGCAGACUUGAGUACUGUAGGGGAGACUGGAAUUCCUGGUGUAGCGGUGGAAUGCGCAGAUAUCAGGAGGAACACCGGUGGCGAAGGCGGGUCUCUGGUACGUGACUGACGCUGAGACGCGAAAGCGUGGGGAGCAAACAGG
rnacentral:rRNA from 1 species